AAGGGCAGGGCGCACGAUGCCCCCUGGGAAUUGUAGUCCCAGUCCCCCUUCCUCCAGCAAGCGGGAUUCUGUAGUAGAGAUGGAGGUCUAGUGCCGGCGACUAACGGAAAGGAGUGACAACGGGUGACACGACAUGAGGAAGAGAAAGUCUCCAGAGGAGUUGCGGCUUCCGGGGAACGAACGAAACAGGGGACACAGAGGAGCACCCGAGAGGGCACCACAGACUCUUGCUCGGUUUCAAGGAGAUAAUAUGAAAUUCAGGCACCAUCCACUGUUUGAGGCCAAACAUCAGGACACAUUCCUCACCCAUUCUCAACUCUAUCCUACACACCUGCUGCUUCUGCCAUCUUUGUUACUGAGGGACACAAGGCACAGUUGAAGGUGGAAAUACCGAAAUGGAAACAGGAUAAUUAAGCACAAGUUUAUGAACUAUUUAGUUUAUGAAAUAUUUAGACUACAGGUCCUCUUCCCUCACCUGACUCAUUCAGCUUCCAGACCCUGGCGGGCAGAAAUGUAUCUUCUAUGCAGGAGACUGGAAGAACUUCUCUAAGAUAAUCUGACCAGUCCAAGAGAGAAAACUUGAAGAUAUAACAUUGAGAGUUCCCCAGGAAAUAGGCCAGCCAGAUCACCCUCGGUGAAGACCACACCCAUGUUUGCAGAGUUUCCAGAGAACUACUUAGUGCUACACUCUUAAGUAUGAGUAGAUAAAGUCACAAGUUAUACAAGAAAACCUUUAAUAUGGAAGACAGAGAUCAACAUAAGCACGCAGAAAACAACAACUGGGAGGAAACAGAGGCUAUGCAUCAAGAAGAAAUCAAGACACCCCCCCAAAAAAUCAUCAAUAUCCUCAGAGACUUAAGAUAUUUUAUUUGUGAAUGUACAUGCUGUUUCAAGAAGUGAACAUUCAGAAAACAAACAUGAGACCUUUAAAAUGAAAGCAUACUAGCAGAAAUUUUUUAAAACUCAAUAAAUAAAAAGAGGAAGAAAUUGGGAAUUCCCUGGUUGUCCAGUGGUUAGGGCUCUGUGCUCUCACUGCCAAGGGCCUAGGUUCAAUCCCUGGUCAGGGAACUAAGAUCCCACAAGCCACACGGCACUGCCAAAAAAAAAAAAGGAGGAAGAAAUUAAAAAUAGGAAAGAUGCAGUUUAUCUUUGCUCAGAUUGUUGAGUAAUGGUGGCUUAUUUCAUGGUUUUUAUUUUUUUUUAAUUGAAGUAUAGUGGAUUUACAAUUUUGUGUUAGUCGUGGUUUUUAUAUUUGUGUCCAGUGCACGUCUUAACAUGAUAGGUACAAUGCAUUGGGUAGCCACUUUUCUGGAAAAGCUGAUCUCUUAGGAAUUGUUUUUCAGAUCUUCAAUACACGUUUUUUCUCUAAUUUAAAAAAAAAAAAAGGGUUUCCCUGGUGGCACAGUGGUUAAGAAUCCGCCUGCCAAUGCAGGGGACACGGGUUCGAUCCCUGGUCCGGGAAGAUCCCACAUGCCGCGGAGCAACUAAGCCCAUGCACCACAACUACUGAGCCUGUGCUCUAGAGCCCGCGAGCCACCACUACUGAAGCCCACGCACCACAACUACUGAAGCCUGCAUGCCUAGUCUGUGCUCUGCAAUGAGAGAAGCCACCACAAUGAGAAGCCCACACACAACAACAAAGAGUAGCCCCCACUCACCGCAACUAGAGAAAACCCGCGCGCAGCAACAGACCCAAUGCAGCCAAAAAUAAAAUAAAUUUAAAAAAAUACCAUUCACAAAAAAAA